rnacentral:tRNA from 1 species
GCCAGCUUAGCUUAGGGGUUAGAGCACUGGUCUUGUAAACCAGGGGUCGGGAGUUCGAUUCUCCCAGUUGGCU